rnacentral:rRNA from 1 species
UUCAGACGAUGCGUCAUGCAUAUCAAUAAGCGGAGGAAAAGAAACUAACAAGGAUUCCCCUAGUAACGGCGAGUGAAGCGGGAAGAGCUCAAAUUUGAAAUCUUAAAGGGUUUCCCUUUACGAAUUGUAGUUUAAAGAAGUGUUUUCUGUUGAGGUUUUGGUAAAAGUUCUUUGGAAUAGGACAUCAUAGAGGGUGAGAAUCCCGUAUUUGACCUUUACUUUCAACUUUGUGAUACACUUUCACAGAGUCGGAUUGUUUGGGAAUGCAGUCCAAAAUGGGUGGUAAAUUUCAUCUAAAGCUAAAUAUUGGCGAGAGACCGAUAGCGAACAAGUACCGUGAGGGAAAGAUGAAAAGAACUUUGAAAAGAGAGUUAAACAGUACGUGAAAUUGUCAAAAGGGAAGCGUUUGACACCAGUGUUGUUUUUCUGAAAAUCAAUUAAAGAACUGUUUAUGCUAAGCUGUUUAGACUUUAUCAGCUAUCUGUUUAGUUUUGAGCUUUUCUUUAAUGCACUUUUCAGUUAACAAGUCAACAUCAAUUUCUUUUGCUGUAAAAAAGCUUGAGGAAGGUGGCUUGAGAUUCGUCUUAAGUGUUUAUAGCCUCUUGCCUAUGCAGUCGGAGAGAUUGAGGUCUGCAGCGUAGAUCCUUCGGGGCUAAAUGCAUUUGUGCUAAGUUAUAGCAUUUUAUAGACAACUUGUUGACUAUGAUUUGUCUUGUAGCUUACUCGCUUAUGUUAUAUUACCUACGCUUAGGAUGUUGAAUCUGUGCGAGACUAC